rnacentral:lncRNA from 1 species
CUGGACUGAUUGUCCAUGAUCCGUUAGCUUUUGCGAAAAUCGAAGAGUCGAUUUCGGUGCGUUUUUCGGCGAAAUUCGCCGAAAGAACGCGGUUUCGGUUCGGAUUUCUUCCGACGUGGUUUGGUUGUCUUGUGUGUGGUCGCUAAGCCUUGUUGGCUAGUCAUCAUCAUCAUUUUGUAGAUUCGGUGAUGAUGGGUGAGCGACGGUGGGUUCCGGUGUCGAAAUAGACAUUUCCCGGAACCCGAAUUCGUACAAUUAUCCGGUGAUAAUUGUGUAGUGUUGUUAUCUUGUGUUUGCUGCCAAAACAUCCAAAUCGGAGUGUUCUGGUGCAGCAGGUGACUCGUGGCACGAGUCGGUGAAUUUCGGGACACUUAGUGGGUCCCGACGGCCUCCAGGUGUGGUUUUCGAGACUUUCGGUGAGUUACGGUGAUCGGUUUUGGGAAAUCGAUUACGGGGAUCUUUUGUGGGGGUUUGUGAGUUGUGUAUUCGGGAGUUGUGGGUUUGUUACUGACCUAGUGGAUCUUCUAGGUCCGGUUACUGAUUGAGCGCACCCAGGUUUUCGACGCUAUUGUGACAGGUGGGUACUUCGAUCCGACGUCGGUACAGUGGUGCAUGCUUGGUGAUGGUUUCUUACCAUUACUCUUCUGUUGUUACUAUCGCAUAGUAUAUUGAGCCUUGAACCCUUAUUUAUUCGUUAUACUCUACUCGUUGUUUGCAUACUUAGUAUCCUGAGUAGGAGUAGAGUAGUUCUAUCUACAUGCGUAUCUGUUGACCUAGUUGGUCUGUUGUUGCAU